rnacentral:misc_RNA from 1 species
GGAAGGAUCAUUAACAAAUCCAUAUUUUAUGCCGCAAGGCGUAGAUAUAUAAAUUCGCUUGGCUGGCGCAAGCUGCCAAGUUGAAAGAUUAUGUAUGUGCUGUUGUCUGUCUGUCUGUGAUAAAAAGAUAGAUGAUGGUAUAUAAAUAAGUGUAUGUUGUGUAGACAAGUGUGUGUAAAAACAAAAAAUUAAUUGACAACUUUUAACAAUGGAUCUCUAGGCUCUUGCAGCGAUGAAGAACGCAGUAAAGUGCGAAAAUUGAUGCGAAUUGCACGAAUCUGUGAGUCAUCUAAUCUUUGAACGCAAAUGGCACUCUUGUGUAAGCAAGAGUAUGUCUGUUUGAGAAUCGCAAACCCGAUCUACUCUAGAUAGAGUGAGGUAUUGGCUUUAGGACGCGUAAGCGGUCUUUAGCUUGAAUGCAUUAAGGCUGAUGAGUUCCCAAUGGUGGCCUCAAUGUGUGCUAGCGGACAGAUGUUUCGAUGUCACAUUAAGGUUCCAAUGCAAGCUCUAUAAACGGCCUCUGUUGAAGACACGACGACGGCGGCGACAUGGUCAAACAUGCCGUCAUCAUUGUGUGUCAUCACAUCAUAUCUAUUACGAUCUCAAAUCAGGCAAGAUUACCCGCUGAACUUAAGCAUAUCAAUAAGCGGAGGAAAAGAAACUAACAAGGAUUCCCCUAGUAGCAGCGAGUGAAGCGGGAAGAGCUCAAAUUUAAAAUCUGGCGUGAAAGCGUCCGAGUUGUAGUCUAAAGAGGCGCUAUCGGACACGAGCAUUCUGCACAAGUUCCUUGGAACAGGACAUCACAGAGGGUGAGAAUCCCGUCUGGGCAGAGUGUGAGUGGACACAUAUGAGGCGUCCUCAAAGAGUCGAGUUGUUUGGGAUUGCAGCUCAAAAUGGGUGGUAUAUUUCAUCUAAGGCUAAAUAAUGGCAAGAGACCGAUAGCAAACAAGUACCGUGAGGGAAAGAUGAAAAGCACCUUGAAAAGGGAGUUAAAAGCGCGUGAAAUUGUUAAAAGGGAAACGAUUGAAGCCAGUAGGGCCCAGUUGUGUUCAGCGGCACCCGUCGAGCAUGGUUGCUGGUGGAGCAGUUAAUUCUGUCUGCCACGGCCUGCGCAAGCGGACUGUCGUGCAUUCAUGAUUGGGUUAGUCAGUGACAAUUUGGCCUUCCGGAAAAGGACCUGGGGAAAGUGGCCAUUCACCUCGUGUGCUUGGCUUUAUAGACCCUCGUAGAUACGGUGGGCUGGAUUGUGUUUGACAGCAGCUAACAGAGACGUGUGCAAUCUGCAGUCGUGGACGCCCGAGAAUCAGUCGAGUCUCUGGUGGCAUCUGACUGGGAAGAGCGUUGAUGAUGCCGCGGUGAAUACUGACGCAAUGGCUUUAAACGACCCGUCUUGAAACACGGACCAAGGAGUCUAACAUAUAUGCGAGUAUUUGGGUGGCAAACCCGGAUGCGCAAUGAAAGUGAGUACGAAUGGGAUCCUCCCGGCCUUGUGCUGCGGAGGCGCACCAUUGACCGAUCUUGAUAUCUCUUGAAAGAUUUGAGUUAGAGCAUAUCUGUUGGGACCCGAAAGAUGGUGAACUAUGCCUGGAUAGGAUGAAGCCAGAGGAAACUCUGGUGGAGGUCCGAAGCCGUUCUGACGUGCAAAUCGAUGGUCAAAUCUGGGUAUAGGGGCGAAAGACUAAUCGAACCAUCUAGUAGCUGGUUCCCUC